GACGAACGCUGGCGGCGUGCUUAACACAUGCAAGUCGAGCGGUAAGGCUCCUUCGGGAGUACACGAGCGGCGAACGGGUGAGUAACACGUGAGCAAUCUGCCCUUCACAUCGGGAUAACUCCGGGAAACCGGGGCUAAUACCGGAUACGACCACCUCAGGCAUCUGAUGGUGGUGGAAAGUUCCGGCGGUGGAGGAUGAGCUCGCGGCCUAUCAGCUUGUUGGUGGGGUAACGGCCUACCAAGGCAACGACGGGUAGCCGGCCUGAGAGGGUGACCGGCCACACUGGGACUGAGACACGGCCCAGACUCCUACGGGAGGCAGCAGUGGGGAAUAUUGGACAAUGGGCGAAAGCCUGAUCCAGCAACGCCGCGUGAGGGAUGACGGCCUUCGGGUUGUAAACCUCUUUCAGCAGGGACGAAGCGAAAGUGACGGUA
rnacentral:rRNA from 1 species